rnacentral:rRNA from 1 species
AGAUUGAACGCUGGCGGCAGGCCUAACACAUGCAAGUCGAGCGGCAGCACGGGUACUUGUACCUGGUGGCGAGCGGCGGACGGGUGAGUAAUGCCUAGGAAUCUGCCUGGUAGUGGGGGAUAACGCUCGGAAACGGACGCUAAUACCGCAUACGUCCUACGGGAGAAAGCAGGGGACCUUCGGGCCUUGCGCUAUCAGAUGAGCCUAGGUCGGAUUAGCUAGUUGGUGAGGUAAUGGCUCACCAAGGCGACGAUCCGUAACUGGUCUGAGAGGAUGAUCAGUCACACUGGAACUGAGACACGGUCCAGACUCCUACGGGAGGCAGCAGUGGGGAAUAGUUAGGACAAUGGGGACGAAAAGCCUGAUCCAGCCAUGCCGCGUGGUGUGAAGAAGGUCUUCGGAAUUGUAAAGCAACUUUAAGGUUGGGAAGGAAGGUACUAAGUUUACCUAAAUACGUUAAUCCUUGUUUUAGUACGUUAACCGACUAAGAAAUAAGACUACCGGACUAAACU